rnacentral:lncRNA from 10 species
CAAGCCUGAAUAGUUCCACCAUCACGCUUGCUUGGCCCAAUGAAAUGUGAACGCAAGUGAUGUGUGACUUCUGGGUGGCAGGGUUAAAAGCCCGGGUAUGAUUCACCAAGCGACCUAUUCCCUGCCACAUGAUCCUGGGGGCAGAUGGAUAGCUGAUCUCUGAGUGACUACAGUGAACAAAGAAAGAAAGACUCCUGCCAAACCUUGUGGACAGUCAGAUAAUUGGAAUGUUCCCUUUGUAAGGUUGGGAAGAAGGACGAUCAAGUGGGUAGCUAGCUCCUUGCACCUCUGUGGAAGAGCUAAACUUCCUCUGUGAAGAGCUUCACCACAGGGCCCUUGGCACUGGGGACAGAGUGGCACAUUUAUACCAAGCACCCACUUCCACUUUCUCUCUAACACUUGAAAACUUUCACAGUACUUUUUCACUAAGGCUACUGUCAAGUCUGAAAAAUAAAGACAUUGUUUCACUUAGAAGUUGUAUUACCUGUGGAUUAUUUAAACUCCCCUAAAUGACAUCUAGAUGAUAUAGUAAGAAAUUUGUUGUGUAGUGUACAGUCAACUCAGAUACAAAGAAUGUAAUGGCUUUAGUGAGCCAACUGUACUUGUAAAAUUAAAACUUAACCAACAUGUUGAAUCAGGCACAUAAAGUAUUGGCUAAAUUCAUUUGCUUCCUUAUAGACAUUACUUUAGAAAUUCCUCUUUAGUGUUUAAAUAAAUAAUAAUCUAAAGUAAAAAGCACAAACAGGAAAAUAGGCUUUACAGUUAAUUAUUUUCUUUUGAAGUUUUAUUCUUAUUGUUUUUACUCUCAAGAAGUGGCGAAGUAUCUUUAACUGGGUAAAAGUAGAUUGUCUUUACCAAACUGUAUAUUUGGGUUUUUGUGAAUUCCCAGUAUCUUUUGGGGUACAUACAUAGUGUGCCAACAUUUGAAAGUAAACAGAGAAAUGAAUUCUGCAUAUAAGUCUGGCUUUUUACGUUAGGUUAUGAUCAAGACAAGUUGAUUUGUUCCUGGACACAAGGUGAGCCCAUAUGCUACUAGGUUACCCCUCACCUUGCUAGACAGAUGCAGAUUUAUGAGGGCAAACCUUAUAGGAACAUCCUCUAUCAUUCCUCAGAUGAUAAGGCACUGGCUCCCAUAUUAAGUUUUAACAAUCUAGUGAGUGAAAAAUGAAAAACAGCGAGUAUCUCUGGAUUUAAUCACAGACACAUAAGAAAAGUAAAAUUAUCAUUCAACCUCAGGGAUAGUGGAUGAAGGCAGAAUCUUAGUCUUAUAAAUUUAAUUUAAUACAUGAAAUGCCUCCAAGAUUUGAGGCUUUGUGGGAUAAUAAGAAACAAUCACGGAAGACCUGCACUUUGAAUAAUCCAACGUCAAUUUUUGCUUUUUAUCUUACUCAAUCUCUCAGCAACAUUAGACAUGGUUGACCCCUUCCUAUUUCUUGAAGUAUUUUCUGUGCUUGGCUCCCAGGAUGCCAUACUUUCCUGAUUUUUUUCCCAUAUCAUUGGCUUCUACUCCUUUGUCUUUUGUUGAUUCAGUCUCAAUUCUCCAGCCUCUGAAGUUUAAAAUGCACCAGAACCAGUCCAUGGACUUAUUUAGCCUCACUCUUCCUACUGAUCUCCACACAACGCCAUGUGUAUGCUGAGGACUCUAAAAUAUUCCGUCUCUUCCUUGGUGUCCAGACUUGAAUAACUGCCUACCUGACAUUUCAACUUGCAUCUCAAACUUAACAUAACUCAAUUUUCCUCAAUAAAACUUUCCUCUCCAUUGUUAUCCAUGUUAGUAUAUGAGACCAUGAUUUGGGCAAAAAACUUGGAAAUAAAUCUUUAUUCCUUUUUUUCCCUCAUAUCCACCCAAUCCAUCAAAUUUUAUCAGCACUUCCCUUAAGAUAUUCUAUAAUUGUAUCAUUUGUUACUACCCUUGUCCAAAUCUACGUUUACUCUUGACCCCUUGCAAUCAAUUUUCUACACAGCAUCCAACAUGUUAUUCUUUAAAAUGUUAAAUAUUUUUCUUUGACACAUACACUAUUGCUGAAAAUCUUACAAUAGCUUCUCAUCACACUUAGAAUAAAACCACAGUGCUUUCUUCCUAAAAGGUUCGUAUUAUUUGAGCACUUGGUUCUCUCUCCAGUCUCAUCCUCUCAGUCCUGUGAACUGUCUCAAGCUACAGUGACCCCCACAGUGUUUUUUGGCAAGUCAGUCAUGCUCCUAUUGCUCUUCUUAAAUUUGCUUAUCUUUCUGCCUCAAAUGUUCUUCCUCAAGAUAGCCUCAUGGCUCACUCCCUCAAUUCCUUCAGUGUAUCUUCACAUUAAUCAUUCAAAGAGGGUCUCAAGUAAUGUAACCAAAUCUAUUCCACACUCUCCUUUAUCCCCUACCCUGCUCAAUUUUUCUUCAUGGUCACCAAAAACAAGUAAAAAAAUGAGACAAUGAUCUUCGAUACAUUGGACAUCAAACAAUAAAAAACAAUAAUUUCUGAAAGACUGGAGUCAAUCAAGGUGAUCUCUAAUUUUCCUCAGCUUAUUGAUUUAAAAAAAUA